UAACGCGUGGGAAUCUGCCCUUUUGUUCGGAAUAACGUUGGGAAACCGACGCUAAUACCGGAUACGCCCUACGGGGGAAAGAUUUAUCGCAGAAGGAGGGGCCCGCGUCGGAUUAGCUAGUUGGUGGGGUAAUGGCUUACCAAGGCGAUGAUCCGUUGCUGGUCUGAGAGGAUGAUCAGCCCCACUGGGACUGAGACACGGCCCAGACUCCUACGGGAGGCAGCAGUGGGGAAUAUUGGACAAUGGGCGCAAGCCUGAUCCAGCAAUGCCGCGUGAGUGAUGAAGGCCUUAGGGUGU
rnacentral:rRNA from 1 species